AUAGUGGUGUGGGCAAUCGCUCAAGUAUCUAUUGUAUCUCUCCCCAGCUUGGGGAAAGGAUUCAAUAUCUUUUUGAGAAAAUAAAGAAGUCUUGCCUUUGAACUCU